GCCAGGCGUGGUGGUGCACACCUGUAGUCCCAGCUCCUUGGGAGGCUGAGGCAGGAGGAUUGCUUGAGCCUAGGAGUUCAAGGCUGCAGUGAACUAUGAUUCCGCCACUGCACUCCAGCCUGGGCAACAGACCAAGAACCUAUCUCUA
ensembl:misc_RNA Metazoa_SRP Metazoan signal recognition particle RNA